rnacentral:rRNA from 1 species
AGAGUUGAUCAUGGCUCAGGAUGAACGCUAGCUACAGGCUUAACACAUGCAAGUCGAGGGGCAGCAUUGGAGUAGCAAUACUCAGAUGGCGACCGGCGCACGGGUGAGUAACACGUAUCCAACCUGCCGCUUACUCGGGGAUAGCCUUUCGAAAGAAAGAUUAAUACCCGAUGGUAUAAAGAGUUCGCAUGUUCUCUUUAUUAAAGAAUUUCGGUAAGCGAUGGGGAUGCGUUCCAUUAGAUAGUUGGCGGGGUAACGGCCCACCAAGUCUACGAUGGAUAGGGGUUCUGAGAGGAAGGUCCCCCACAUUGGAACUGAGACACGGUCCAAACUCCUACGGGAGGCAGCAGUGAGGAAUAUUGGUCAAUGGACGAGAGUCUGAACCAGCCAAGUAGCGUGAAGGAUGACUGCCCUAUGGGUUGUAAACUUCUUUUAUAAGGGAAUAAAGUGAGGGACGUGUCCCUUUUUGUAUGUACCUUAUGAAUAAGGAUCGGCUAACUCCGUGCCAGCAGCAGC